GCAGCAGGAGCAGGAGGAACCCAAUCCCAAAGGGAUCGGCUGCAGUGCAGGGAGGCAGAGCUGGAGGUGCCAGAGCCCGGGGACACCUCCACUGGGGACAAAGGGAAGGACAAACAACAGGGUUUGAUCUUCACAGGGCAAAGCCUCAGCAGGAAAAAUCAUCCCUUGCUGCCAGAGUUUGGGACAACGCUCUGGAAGGUGCUGGGUACAGAGAGGAUGAUUUGUGUGGGCUGAAAAGUCAGCCUGGACUGAGGGAUAACGAAGGAGGGUCAGCAGUGAUUACCAAAAAAUCAAAUUACUCCGAUCAUGAAAGGAAAAGGGGUGGCAGAUGCUCUCCUGCCACCUGAGGCUGCUGCCCUGGCAGGCAGUGAGGAGCAGGUCAGACAGGAGAGGCUCUGCAGGAGGUGUGGAGUUCAAUUUCCUGGCACUGUGUCACUCACUAAAGCUAAUUCACUUCCCACCCACUACAUCAUUUAAUUUCCAAGCAUAUCAUGGCUGGAAUACAGCAUCCUCCUGCCAGAGGCCAGCAGAAAGGUAAAGGUCAGGAUUUCAUUGUUUGAUUGCUGACAAGCAGAGCAAUUAAAACUGAAGUAAUUAAUAUCACCGUGUCCAAGGUCUGGCAGUGACUUUCCAGGCAAUUAAUCCCACGAGGUGAGCAGAGGGGGAUCCCAAAUGAUGGCAGCAGAGGUGAAGAUGAUCCCUGAUGUCCCUCAGGAGAGCCCAGGACAACCCAGUGGGAUUUGGGAAUCCUCGCAGGAGCAGGCUGCUAUCGUGUCCCAGCACCACCAGCAGGAGGUUCUUUCAAUAUUUUGAUGAAGUUUGGGUGGAAAUCAAGCUGGCAUCCCUGGCUGAGCAGACACCCAGCUGCCAGGAUCCCUGCCUGCAUCUUCUGUGAUCCAAGGAGACACAAAUGGGGCUUGUCCUGUGCCAGCACAGGAAAUCUGGGAAUAAAUCCCAGAGCCUGAGGGAAACACAGGGACUUCAGACCCCCAGAGACAUUCCCUGCACUGCCUUCCCAUUAAAAGUGCAUUUUGCAGGAGUUCAUGGAUUAUAAUUAUGGAUGAAUUGUGGAUUGAUGGAUUAUUAAUAACGGAUGGGAAAUUCCAGUGCUCCCAAAUCAGUAAUGGGUUUUUUUAGGACCAAGGGAUGCUCCUCGAGCACUUUUCUCUCUGCAGGGAAACUGCUGCAGGACUCCCAGGGACAUAAUGAGAAAUAGUUGGGAAUUUUGGGACAAAUGUGGUGUUUUUAAUAAUUAUGGAGAAGAAACCCUUCAGUUUCUCCAUUCUGUCCUCACAAACACAAAGAGUUUCCUGCUCUGCAGCCACACAAACCCCACCACUGAGGUUCUUUACAUGAAUUGUCUUGUGGGAGAUUCC